UACAGGGGGGGCAAGCGUUGUUCGGAAUUACUGGGCGUAAAGGGCUUGUAGGUGGCCAAUUAAGUCAGACGUGAAAUCCCUCAGCUUAACUGGGGAACUGCGUCUGAUACUGGAUGGCUUGAGUUUGGGAGAGGGAUGCGGAAUUCCAGGUGUAGCGGUGAAAUGCGUAGAUAUCGUAAGGAAGACCAGUGGCGAAGGCGGGUCUCUGGACAGUUCCUGACACUGAGGCACGAAGGCCAGGGGAGCAAACGGG
rnacentral:rRNA from 1 species